rnacentral:rRNA from 1 species
GAUCCUGGCUCAGGAUGAACGCUAGCUACAGGCUUAACACAUGCAAGUCGAACGAAGAGCGAUGGAAGCUUGCUUCUAUCAAUCUUAGUGGCGAACGGGUGAGUAACGCGUAAUCAACCUGCCCUUCAGAGGGGGACAACAGUUGGAAACGACUGCUAAUACCGCAUACGAUCCAAUCCCGGCAUCGGGACUGGAUGAAAGGUGGCCUCUAUUUAUAAGCUAUCACUGAAGGAGGGGA